AUCUAGCUGAUGAAUCUCAAAUAGGACGAAACACACGUCCUGGUU
rfam:Schistosoma mansoni strain Puerto Rico chromosome 7, complete genome